CUGAGGACUUUGGCAUUCAGCACAGCAGGAGCUGCUAUGUGUUUCUGGCUGAAUCUGAAUUUGAAAUAGGAAAACAGAAAUAGCUCACUGAACAGAAGUGAAGCAUGACCACGAAUUGCAGAAUAUUCAGGCAAAAUUGUAUUUUGAGAGCAAGUGCACUUUUCUAUCACCUCCGAUUAGAAUAAAUGCAAGAAGGCAGCUGAACUUGGAAACACACAGUAUCUGGACUUGGAACUGCAAGGUGAUACCACCUCCUCUGUAUGUGAGAAAACAGCUCUGCUAAACCACAUCUCAGCAGAUUCCUAGAUCUCUCACUGAACCUGGAGUUUACCAAUCCAGCAAGGCUGACUGGCCAUUGAGCCCUGGAGAUCCGCCUGUCUCUGUGUUGCUAGUGCUGGGAUUACAGGUAUGGCUGAAUGCUGCCCAGAGAAAUGUGGCAGAAAACCCUGAGCAGGACUCCUUUUCCUCUUUCCUGCCUCCUGGACUUGGAAGUGAUGGGCCUUGCUGUGAUGUGGUAUCGACAUUGGAUACCAUUAACUGAGCUCACCGAGUAGAAAGAGGGUUGUUUUUUUAAUAAAAUACAUUCAAGAUGACAAUUCAUGGUUUCGGAGGUCGUCAAUUUUAUCUUUUCAGCAUCACUUAUUGUGGCCUUGGGAUCUUGACUCUAAGUCAUUUGAUUAAAAAGAAACAAAAAGCGAAAACCUUCCUGCCUGACUUCAUUCUCCAAGCCAAAAAUCGGCUGUAGACAUUGUGUGUUUUUGUAUCUACUCCACACACGAUAUUGGCACCCACUGGUGUGUGCUUUAAGACUGCUUCGUAAACAGCUACCAUCUGGAUUCAAAUAGGAUGUUCUAUUCUCAAACCUUCUCCAUGAAUUUCAG